rnacentral:tRNA from 1 species
GCGGGCAUGAUGAAAUUGGCAGACAUGCGAGAUUUAGAUUCUCGUGCCGCAAGGCGUUGGGGUUCAAGUCCCCAUGCCCGCACCA